rnacentral:rRNA from 1 species
AAUGAACGCUGGCGGCAUGCCUAACACAUGCAAGUCGAACGAGACCUUCGGGUCUAGUGGCGCACGGGUGCGUAACGCGUGGGAAUCUGCCCUUGGGUUCGGAAUAACAGUUAGAAAUGACUGCUAAUACCGAAUGAUGUCGUAAGACCAAAGAUUCAUCGCCCAGGGAUGAGCCCGCGUAGGAUUAGCUAGUUGGUGUGGUAAAAGCGCACCAAGGCGACGAUCCUAGCUGGUCUGAGAGGAUGAUCAGCCACACUGGGACUGAGACACGGCCCAGACUCCUACGGGAGGCAGCAGUGGGGAAUAUUGGACAAUGGGCGAAAGCCUGAUCCAGCAAUGCCGCGUGAGUGAUGAAGGCCUUAGGGUUGUAAAGCUCUUUUACCCGGGAUGAUAAUGACAGUACCGGGAGAAUAAGCUCCGGCUAACUCCGUGCCAGCCGCCGCAGUAAG